rnacentral:rRNA from 1 species
AUUGAACGCUGGCGGCAUGCCUUACACAUGCCAGUCGAACGGUAGAGGGGGCAACCUCUCGAGAGUGGCGAACGGGUGAGUAAAGCAUCGGAACGUGCCCAGUAGUCGGGGAUAGCCCGGCGAAAGCCGGAUUAAUACAGCAUGAGACCUACGGGGGAAAGGGGGGGAUCGCAAGACCUCUCCGUAUUGGAGCGGCCGGUGUCAGAUUAGGUAGUCGGUGGGGUAAAGGCCUACCAAGCCGACGAUCUGUAGCUGGUCUGAGAGGACGCACAGCCACACUGGGACUGAGACACUACCCAGACACCUACAGGAGGCAGCAGUGGGGAAUAUUGAACAAUGAGCGCAAGCCUGAUCCAGCCAUGCCGCGUGCGGUAAGAAGGCCUUCGGGUUGUAAACCGAUUUUGUCAGGGAAGAAAUCCUUUGAGCUAAUACCUCGGGGGGAUGACGGUACCUGAAGAAUAAGCACCGGCUAACUACGUGCCAGCCGCCGCCGUAAAAC